rnacentral:rRNA from 1 species
GUGGGGAAUAUUGCACAAUGGGGGAAACCCUGAUGCAGCCAUGCCGCGUGUGUGAAGAAGGCCUUCGGGUUGUAAAGCACUUUCAGUAGGGAGGAAAGGUUGUAAGUUAAUACCUUGCAGCUGUGACGUUACCUACAGAAAAAGGACCGGCUAACUCCGUGCCAGCAGCCGCGGUAAUACGGAGGGUCCAAGCGUUAAUCGGAAUUACUGGGCGUAAAGCGUGCGCAGGCGGUUUGUUAAGCGAGAUGUGAAAGCCCCGGGCUCAACCUGGGAAUUGCAUUUCGAACUGGCAAACUAGAGUCUUGUAGAGGGGGGUAGAAUUCCAGGUGUAGCGGUGAAAUGCGUAGAGAUCUGGAGGAAUACCGGUGGCGAAGGCGGCCCCCUGGACAAAGACUGACGCUCAGGCACGAAAGCGUGGGGAGCAAACAGG